rnacentral:lncRNA from 1 species
CCAUAAACUAAAAUAUCUUCAAAGAAAAAAAGGUCAGUGAUCACAGAUGGAAAAAUUCUAGAAGAUCAAAUUCUAUAUCAAUAUAAGAUCAAAUGAAAACUUGUAGAAUAUCAAAUGCAAGCAUAGUUAUACCAAGAAAAGUUUAUAAAUGCCAUAUCAAUAUCACCACCAAAUUAUCAUGACAAACCUAUAAAAGAUCAAAUUCCCAAAAGUGAAAGCCAGUAGAGAGUUUGUGACUGUCUACUGAAUACCAUAUCAAUAUUUGCUAGGAAUUUUCAUAUUUAAUCAAAUAAUCAAGUACCAACAGCUUUCUAGCUUUAUAUAUUUAUGGUGUAGGAAGGUAGAUUCUCAUGUGUGAUGAUCUAUUAUCCAAAAGCCCAAAUUUUAAAACAUGAACUGCACAAUGAAAAAAUUAGAGAGAAAAAAAAAUACUGAGCAAAACAAAAAAAUCUGUAUUAAGCAAAUACUAAAAUCCUCAAAGAAUAAACCGUUUAUCAGAUCUAAUAAGAGAUGCCUCGCGAACUCACUACCCAUAACAAUGAACUCAGACACUAAGAAAGCAAAGAAUACAGGAGGAAGUGAAAAU